UACAGAGGGUGCGAGCGUUGUUCGGAAUUAUUGGGCGUAAAGCGCUUGUAGGCGGCUUGUUAAGUUCCGUGUGAAAUCCCCAGGCUUAACCUGGGAAGUGCGCGGAAAACUGGCGAGCUUGAGUGCCGGAGAGGGUCGCGGAAUUCCCGGUGUAGAGGUGGGAAUUCGUAGAUAUCGGGAGGAACACCAGUGGCGAAGGCGGCGACCUGGCGGACACGUGA
rnacentral:rRNA from 1 species